rnacentral:lncRNA from 1 species
CCCCUUAAAACCCUAGCAUCAAAGGUUCACCUUCAUAGAAAAAAAAUUCAAUUAAUUUUCAAAGUAAAAUAAAAUUAUAUAUGAAGUAGAUGUAAACAAUUGAAUCUAGUACAAAAAAGUUCCAUAUGAGGAACUUAGAAGCUUAUGAGUCGUUAACAAAAAUAGGAAAAAGAAAAUAAUUAGCUGCAAAAAAAUCUAGAGACUAGAUCUCAAGUUUCAGAUCAGAUCCAUGACAAGAUUUUGAUGACGAUGGAAGAGAACUGUGUAUAUAAAUAUAUACGGACAUUGAGAUCUAGAAGGUAUCUAUAAGGUAGUACCUUCUCCAAAUAGAUAAAAAGGAAAAAAGAAAAA